UACGAAGGGUGCAAGCGUUACUCGGAAUUACUGGGCGUAAAGCGUGCGUAGGUGGUUCGUUAAGUCUGAUGUGAAAGCCCUGGGCUCAACCUGGGAAUGGCAUUGGAUACUGGCGAUCUAGAGUGCGGUAGAGGGCAGUGGAAUUCCCGGUGUAGCAGUGAAAUGCGUAGAGAUCGGGAGGAACAUCUGUGGCGAAGGCGACUGCCUGGACCAGCACUGACACUGAGGCACGAAAGCGUGGGGAGCGAACAGG
rnacentral:rRNA from 1 species